rnacentral:misc_RNA from 1 species
AAGUCGUAACAAGGUCUCCGUAGGUGAACCUGCGGAGGGAUCAUUACACAAUAACAAGGCGGGUUGGACACCCCCCGCUGGGCACUGCUUCACGGCGUGCGCGGCGGGGCCGGCCCUGCUGAAUUAUUUACCCGUGUCUUUUGCGUACUUCUUGUUUCCUGGGUGGGCUCGCCCGCCCUCAGGACCAACCACAAACCUUUUGCAAUAGCAAUCAGCGUCAGUAACAACGUAAUUAAUUACAACUUUCAACAACGGAUCUCUUGGUUCUG